UACGUAGGGUGCAAGCGUUGUCCGGAAUUAUUGGGCGUAAAGAGCUCGUAGGCGGUUUGUCGCGUCUGCUGUGAAAUCUGGAGGCUCAACCUCCAGCCUGCAGUGGGUACGGGCAGACUAGAGUGCGGUAGGGGAGAUUGGAAUUCCUGGUGUAGCGGUGGAAUGCGCAGAUAUCAGGAGGAACACCGAUGGCGAAGGCAGAUCUCUGGGCCGUAACUGACGCUGAGGAGCGAAAGCAUGGGGAGCGAACAGG
rnacentral:rRNA from 1 species